AGAAUCAACGCUGGCGGCGUGCCUCAGACAUGCAAGUCGAACGAUUAAACUUUCCUUCGGGAAAGAUAUAAAGUGGCGCACGGGUGAGUAACACGUAAGUAAUCUACCUUCGAGUGGGGAAUAACAUCGGGAAACCGAUGCUAAUACCGCAUAAUGCAGCGGCAUCGCAAGAUGACAGUUGUUAAAGGAUUUUAUUCGCUUGGAAGAGGAGCUUGCGGCAGAUUAGCUUGUUGGUAAGG
rnacentral:rRNA from 1 species